GUGGUAUGACUAGACGGCUCAAACCUGGUGCCGUACCUACUAUUUGGAAGAAAUCGCCAACACCAACAACUUCAAGAGAGCGGCGUCAGGUUUUAAAGGAAAUACAAAAUGAAGUGUCUGUAUCAUGCAUGAAGAAAGAAGAUUCGUGCUAUUUUCAAGAAGAAAAAGGCACAACUGAAAUUCCAGACCAAUCUGAGAAUGAUGCAUACGUAAAGCCAACAAUUGCUCUUCACACAUACGUGCACUUCGUAAAACAACUAUUCCUCAAUAUUCUUACAGGACCAACAGAUCACGCCCGAUGCACCUAAUUACACGGAAAACAAAGAAAAUGAACCGGUUUGUAUCUUUGAAAUAUAUUUUUGUAUAACUUUUGUAGACAUUUUUAAACUUUCAGGAUCAUGCUACGGCGUCCUGUGAGAGUUGCAAGAAAAAAGAUAGUGAAUUAAAGAUGUUGCAUGGAGAACUUACAAAACUGCACACGAAAUUAGCUAUCAAUCAAACGCAAUGGAUACGGACGACUAAUUUAAUAGCAAGAGAAACUGUAACCGAUGAGAGAACUGACCCCAAUAAAAAGAAUCCUACGACAGAACAUGUUCAUUUACAAGAUGCAAACGAAGGCUAGUGUUAAAAUAUCAACGGCUCACACUUCAACAA